GUCCUUUUGUAGUUCAUAAGCGAGAUGAUUGGGUGUUCAGGCACAUGUGUGAGUAUGCCUCCUUCAAACCUUGUUACAACGUCAGCACAUUACCCGCCUGACA
rfam:Nomascus leucogenys chromosome 15, whole genome shotgun sequence.